GUAAUUGCAUAAGAUCUUUAUGCAAUGCUGACCUGAGAGGUGGCUUCCAGCUUGGUAAAGAUGUGUCUCUACCACAACCGAACAUUCGCUUGAGCACGAACCCUCUUGCUGAACUUGGAGGGAAACCAGCAUCCAAACGGCGUACCCUUGCUUUCUUUGCUGGACAUAUGCAUGGUUAUCUCCGCCCUGUACUACUGAAGCACUGGGAAAACAGAGAUCCUGACAUGAAGAUUUAUGGUGGAAUAACCAAGGCAAGCUAUUU
rnacentral:misc_RNA from 1 species